rnacentral:rRNA from 1 species
AGCGAACGCUGGCGGCAGGCUUAACACAUGCAAGUCGAGCGGGCAUCCUUGUGGUGUCAGCGGCAGACGGGUGAGUAACGCGUGGGAACGUGCCCUUCGGUUCGGAAUAACUCAGGGAAACUUGAGCUAAUACCGGAUACGUGCGAGAGCAGAAAGGUUUAUCUGCCGAAGGAUCGGCCCGCGUCUGAUUAGCUAGUUGGUGAGGUUAUGGCUCACCAAGGCGACGAUCAGUAGCUGGUCUGAGAGGAUGAUCAGCCACACUGGGACUGAGACACGGCCCAGACUCCUACGGGAGGCAGCAGUGGGGAAUAUUGGACAAUGGGGGCAACCCUGAUCCAGCCAUGCCGCGUGAGUGAUGACGGCCUUAGGGUUGUAAAGCUCUUUUCCCCGGGACGAUAAUGACGGUACCGGAGGAAUAAGCCCCGGCUAACUUCGUG